AGAGUUUGAUCAUGGCUCAGAUUGAACGCUGGCGGCAUGCCUAACACAUGCAAGUCGAGCGGUAGAGAAGUGCUUGCACUUCUUGAGAGCGGCGGACGGGUGAGUAAUGCCUAGGAAUCUGCCUAGUGGUGGGGGAUAACGUUCGGAAACGGACGCUAAUACCGCAUACGUCCUACGGGAGAAAGCGGGGGACCUUCGGGCCUCGCGCCAUUAGAUGAGCCUAGGUCGGAUUAGCUAGUUGGUGAGGUAAAGGCUCACCAAGGCGACGAUCCGUAACUGGUCUGAGAGGAUGAUCAGUCACACUGGAACUGAGACACGGUCCAGACUCCUACGGGAGGCAGCAGUGGGGAAUAUUGGACAAUGGGCGAAAGCCUGAUCCAGCCAUGCCGCGUGUGUGAAGAAGGUCUUCGGAUUGUAAAGCACUUUAAGUUGGAAGGAAGGGCAGUAACUUAAUACGUUGCUGUUUUGACGUUACCGACAGAAUAAGCACCGGCUAACUCUGUGCCAGCAGCCGCGGUAAUACAGAGGGUGCAAGCGUUAAUCGGAAUUACUGGGCGUAAAGCGCGCGUAGGUGGUUUGUUAAGUUGGAUGUGAAAGCCCCGGGCUCAACCUGGGAACUGCAUCCAAAACUGGCAAGCUAGAGUACAGUAGAGGGUAGUGGAAUUUCCUGUGUAGCGGUGAAAUGCGUAGAUAUAGGAAGGAACACCAGUGGCGAAGGCGACCACCUGGACUGAUACUGACACUGAGGUGCGAAAGCGUGGGGGAGCAAACAGGAUUAGAUACCCUGGUAGUCCACGCCGUAAACGAUGUCAACUAGCCGUUGGGUUCCUUGAGGACUUAGUGGCGCAGCUAACGCAUUAAGUUGACCGCCUGGGGAGUACGGGCCGCAAGGUUAAAACUCAAAUGAAUUGACGGGGGCCCGCACAAGCGGUGGAGCAUGUGGUUUAAUUCGAAGCAACG
rnacentral:rRNA from 1 species